rnacentral:rRNA from 1 species
AGUGUAGGCGGUCCGAAAAGUCGGGUGUGAAAGCCCUGGGCUCAACCCAGGAAGUGCACUCGAAACUGCCGGGCUAGAGUACUGGAGAGGUUGGUGGAAUUCUCGGUGUAGAGGUGAAAUUCGUAGAUAUCGAGAGGAACACCGGUGGCGAAGGCGGCCAACUGGACAGAUACUGACGCUGAGACUCGAAAGCGUGGGGAGCAAACA